rnacentral:rRNA from 1 species
GACGAACGCUGGCGGCGUGCUUAACACAUGCAAGUCGAACGGAAAGGCCCUGCUUUUGUGGGGUGCUCGAGUGGCGAACGGGUGAGUAACACGUGAGUAACCUGCCCUUGACUUUGGGAUAACUUCAGGAAACUGGGGCUAAUACCGGAUAGGAGCUCCUGCUGCAUGGUGGGGGUUGGAAAGUUUCGGCGGUUGGGGAUGGACUCGCGGCUUAUCAGCUUGUUGGUGGGGUAGUGGCUUACCAAGGCUUUGACGGGUAGCCGGCCUGAGAGGGUGACCGGCCACAUUGGUACUGAGAUACGGCCCAGACUCCUACGGUAGGCAGCAGUGGGGAAUAUUGCACAAUGGGCGGAAGCCUGAUGCAGCAACGCCGCGUUCGGGAUGACGGCCUUCGGGUUGUAAACCGCUUUCGCCUGUUACGAAGCGUGAGUGACGGUAAUUGGUAAAGAAGCACCGGCUAACUACGUG